rnacentral:rRNA from 1 species
CCUAUGGGGGGCAGCAGGCGCGAAACCUCCGCAAUGCACGCAAGUGCGACGGGGGAACCCCAAGUGCCACUCUUAACGGGGUGGCUUUUCAGAAGUGUAAAAAGCUUCUGGAAUAAGGGCUGGGCAAGACCGGUGCCAGCCGCCGCGGUAACACCGGCAGCUCAAGUGGUAGCCGCUUUUAUUGGGCCUAAAGCGUCCGUAGCCGGUCUGAUAAGUCUCUGGUGAAAUCCCACAGCUUAACUGUGGGAAUUGCUGGAGAUACUAUCAUGACUCGAGGUCGGGAGAGGCUGGAGGUACUCCCAGGGUAGGGGUGAAAUCCUGUAAUCCUGGGAGGACCACCUGUGGCGAAGGCGUCCAGCUGGAACGAACCUGACGGUGAGGGACGAAAGCCAGGGGCGCGAACCGGAUUAGAUACCCCCGUAGUCC